rnacentral:sRNA from 1 species
GUUCCGGAGACUCAACAUGAAGCUGCUGGCCAGGGUUUUGUUUACUCUGGGGUCCCGGCUGCCCUGUGGCCUCGCUCCUCCGCGGUUUUUCAGUUAUGGGACAAAAAUAUUAUAUCAAAACACUGAAGCUUUGCAGUCUAAAUUCUUUUCACCUCUUCAAAAAGCGAUGCUACCACCUAAUAGUUUUCAAGGAAAAGUGGCAUUCAUUACUGGGGGAGGUACUGGCCUUGGUAAAGGAAUGACAACUCUUCUGUCCAGCCUAGGUGCUCAGUGCGUGAUAGCCAGCCGGAAGAUGGAUGUUUUGAAAGCUACUGCAGAACAAAUUUCUUCCCAAACUGGAAAUAAGGUUCAUGCAAUUCAGUGUGAUGUGAGGGAUCCUGAUAUGGUUCAAAACACUGUGUCAGAACUGAUCAAAGUUGCAGGACAUCCUAAUAUUGUGAUAAACAAUGCAGCAGGGAAUUUUAUUUCUCCUACUGAAAGACUUUCUCCUAAUGCUUGGAAAACCAUAACUGACAUAGUUCUAAAUGGCACAGCCUUCAUGACACUAGAAAUUGGAAAACAACUAAUUAAAGCACAGAAAGAUGUACAUGUGCUUUUUCUUACAUGUGAAUGGACAUCCGAUAGCCUAGCUAACAUAAAGACUUUGGUGGAAAUAACUUUUAAGAACCUCAGGGAAUUUAAAACUAAGAAGUAGAAGCAACCCAAGGAAGCUUGAACCAUAUGGAGCUUGUGUUGGGGAAAGGGAAAGAGUGAAGUGAAUAA